rnacentral:rRNA from 1 species
CGGGGUGAGUAACGCGUAGGAACCUGACACGCAGAGGGGGAUAACGCUGGGAAACCGGUGCUAAUACCGCAUGUGAUCAGAGAUGAAGAAAGCAGCAAUGCGCUGUGUGAGGGGCCUGCGUCCGAUUAGCUAGUUGGUGGGGUAAAGGCCUACCAAGGCGACGAUCGGUAGCCGGCCUGAGAGGGUGAUCGGCCACACUGGAACUGAGACACGGUCCAG